rnacentral:piRNA from 1 species
CCCAGGAAACCAGGCUGGAACAAAGGUGUC